UAGGGUGAAAUCUAUUAGGGUAUUUCAUUUACGAUGAAAAUGAGUUUUUAACCACUCUAA
rnacentral:tRNA from 1 species